AAUCAACGCUGGCGGCGUGCCUCAGACAUGCAAGUCGAACGAUUAAAGCUCUCUUCGGAGAGUGUAUAGAGUGGCGCACGGGUGAGUAACACGUAAGUAAUCUACCUUCGAGUGGGGAAGUAACGUUCGGAACGGACGCUAAUACCGCAUAAUGCAGCGGCAUCGCAAGAUGACAGUUGUUAAAGAUUUAUCGCUUGAGGAGGAGCUUGCGGCAGAUUAG
rnacentral:rRNA from 1 species